rnacentral:lncRNA from 1 species
CCUCAUGAGUUCAUAUAGUCUAUUUAUUGCAAAUUUUUAUAUGAAUAAUUAUUGUGGAGUGAGCUUCUUCAUCCAAGAGAAAGUCUAGUUGGAAGAAGAAGAACAAGCCUAUGAAGAAGCAAAAAAAAGGAGAACAAACCAAAGAAGGAUGUUCUGAAGAAGGCUGUAGUGAAAAAAAAAUAUUUUCACUAUGAUGAUGAAGGCCAU